rnacentral:rRNA from 1 species
UACGUAGGGUGCGAGCGUUAAUCGGAAUUACUGGGCGUAAAGCGUGCGCAGGCGGUUUGUUAAGACAGGCGUGAAAUCCCCGGGCUCAACCUGGGAACUGCGCUUGUGACUGGCAGGCUAGAGUACGGCAGAGGGGGGUGGAAUUCCACGUGUAGCAGUGAAAUGCGUAGAGAUGUGGAGGAACACCAAUGGCGAAGGCAGCCCCCUGGGUCGAUACUGACGCUCAUGCACGAAAGCGUGGGUAG